AAGAUUCUUCCACAAAACCCGUGUCUUCUCUCCUGGAGGAAAGAGGGCAGCAUGGGGUCUACAUGAGAGACUUUUAAGAGCAGCGGGUGAAGAACAAUGUGUGUAGAGACAGAGAGACAGUGUGCUUUCAAUAGCAAUCAGCCUGUCUGUGUGUGUGCGAUGAGCUGCAGGAGGUGUGAUUCCCCAGUCAACCACGUGAUCGGGUUGCUGCCGCUGACUGGCUGACUGCUCAGUUUUAAACUCUACCUGACGCCGGCCUUCGGCCUCUCACUUUCCCCAUUCCCAACAUGACAGCAGCCGGUAGUAUUCUGUGUAUGAUCUUGUGUGUGCUGCAGUAGCAUUUUUGAUUUAGAGCAUCUGCCUGCAGAAGCUGUUACCUUGAACUUUAGUUUGUGUGUUAAAGCUACCUGUGACUGUGAUUAGAACAGCUUAUUGUAAGCAUUGUAAUAUUGUAAAUAAUCUUGCUCAAUUCAGUAGCAACCUUAAAGUAGGAGGGAGAAGCCAUUUUUGUUGAUCCCUUUUUCUCCUGUUUAUUUCAGUUGGGAGGUAGGUUAGUUUGAUUGUCUUUUGUUUCCACAUUUAUUUUCUGACAGGUAAGGUAGGGAUCUGGACUUAGUUGUUUUGUUUGUUAUUUUUGGCAUUGCUCCUCUCUGAAGUUAUAAAAAUAAAACUGCUACUUUGAACUUUUUA